UGAGACAGGUGCUGCAUGGCUGUCGUCAGCUCGUGUUGUGAAAUGUUGGGUUAAGUCCCGCAACGAGCGCAACCCUUAUCCUUUGUUGCCAGCGAUUCGGUCGGGAACUCAAAGGAGACUGCCGGUGAUAAACCGGAGGAAGGUGGGGAUGACGUCAAGUCAUCAUGGCCCUUACGAGUAGGGCUACACACGUGCUACAAUGGCGCAUACAAAGAGAAGCGACCUCGCGAGAGCAAGCGGACCUCAUAAAGUGCGUCGUAGUCCGGAUCGGAGUCUGCAACUCGACUCCGUGAAGUCGGAAUCGCUAGUAAUCGUGGAUCAGAAUGCCACGGUGAAUACGUUCCCGGGCCUUGUACACACCGCCCGUCACACCAUGGGAGUGGGUUGCAAAAGAAGUAGGUAGCUUAACCUCCGGGAGGGCGCUUACC
rnacentral:rRNA from 1 species